GAGUGCGCAGGACUGGCAAGAGGGAAGCCGGGCUGCUCCACGCCUUUCACGCCUUCCACCUCCUGCGUGUCCAUCUGUGAGAAGGAGCCAGAGCCCAAGGGAGAUGAUGGAGCCUGAGGAGUACAGAGAGAGAGGGAGAGAGAUGGUGGAUUACAUCUGCCAGUACCUGAGCACUCUGCGGGAGAGACGUGUGACACCAGACGUGCAGCCUGGCUACCUGCGAGCCCAGCUGCCUGAGAGUGCUCCUGAGGACCCCGACAGCUGGGACAGCAUCUUUGGGGACAUUGAACGAAUCAUCAUGCCUGGGAGCACGGUCAGUGAAUCCACUUUGAUUGCCCUGCUGGCAGCAAGGAAGAACAAAAUCCUGGAAAUGAAAACGUCUGAGCCCGAUGCUGAUGAGUCCUGCCUAAAUGCCCGACUCGUGGCCUAUGCCUCUGACCAGGCUCACUCCUCUGUGGAAAAGGCUGGUUUGAUUUCCCUUGUGAAGAUGAAAUUUCUGCCUGUGGAUGACAACUUCUCACUCCGAGGGGAAGCUCUUCAGAAGGCCAUCGAGGAAGACAAGCAGCGGGGCUUGGUGCCCGUCUUUGUCUGUGCAACACUAGGGACCACUGGGGUCUGUGCAUUUGACUGCCUGUCAGAGCUGGGCCCCAUCUGUAAGUAUCUUCCCUCUCUGGCUAGGAAGACAAGGAAUACAUUUUUAAAUGUCUCCUAAAGCAAGGACCUGAAACCAGCUCUAUGGGAUUAUUCUUGUUCCUCUUUGGUCAAUGCAGAGACAUGGGAAGAACCACCAAAGGUCAUGAGGGUCUCUUCCAGGGAUCCCUGGACAUUGCCUUUCCCAGUGGUGUGACAAGAGUUAGAGGUGGCCUACCUUGCCUUCUGUCCUAGGAGGCGACAGUAGGAGAGCCUUCAGUUUUCUCAUCCUCUUACUUGUAUGUUGAACUUUACUUAAUGCAGGCUAUAUCCAAAAUACAGUGUGAAUUAGGCUAGAAUAGAAAUGCUUUCUAUUCUACCUUCAGAAAAGGAAAAGGGUAGGGUAGGGGAAAUCAUGGGAGAGAUUAAAGGCAGAGAGGAAACCCAGAUGGGACUGUUUAAUCCCCAAGCAAGAAACCACUAGGAAAGAGAGAUACCUUCCCUCUAACUUUUGUAUUCGGUGCACUGACAUUGCUCUCUGUGCUGGUGGGAAAUUGAUUUCUGUGCCAGGAUGUUCUAGGCUGAGGCCAAGAGGGUGCUGGCCCUUUACCCAGUGGAAGAAAAAGGCAAGGGUGAGGCUUUGUAGACUUUCCCGUUAGGAGGUAAUGAUGCCUCCUUCAGCCCCACUUCUUCAAACUGACUC
rnacentral:sRNA from 1 species